GAUGAACGCUGGCGGCGUGCCUAAUACAUGCAAGUCGAGCGAACAGAUGAGGAGCUUGCUCCUCUGACGUUAGCGGCGGACGGGUGAGUAACACGUGGAUAACCUACCUAUAAGACUGGGAUAACUUCGGGAAACCGGAGCUAAUACCGGAUAAUAUAUUGAACCGCAUGGUUCAAUAGUGAAAGACGGUUUUGCUGUCACUUAUAGAUGGAUCCGCGCCGCAUUAGCUAGUUGGUAAGGUAACGGCUUACCAAGGCAACGAUGCGUAGCCGACCUGAGAGGGUGAUAGGCCACACUGGAACUGAGACACGGUCCAGACUACUACGGGAGGCAGCAGUAGGGAAUCUUCCGCAAUGGGCGAAAGACUGACGGAGCAACGCCGAGUGAGUGAUGAAGGUCUUCGGAUCGUAAAACUCUGUUAUUAGGGAAGAACAAAUGUGUAAGUAAAUAUGCACGUCUUGACGGUACCUAAUCAGAAAGCCACGGCUAACUACGUG
rnacentral:rRNA from 1 species